rnacentral:rRNA from 1 species
UACGUAGGGGGCUAGCGUUGUCCGGAAUCAUUGGGCGUAAAGCGCGUGUAGGCGGUCCGGUAAGUCCGCUGUGAAAGUCGGGGGCUCAACCCUCGAAUGCCGGUGGAUACUGUCAGACUAGAGUACGGAAGAGGCGAGUGGAAUUCCUGGUGUAGCGGUGAAAUGCGCAGAUAUCAGGAGGAACACCCAUUGCGAAGGCAGCUCGCUGGGACGGUACUGACGCUAAGGCGCGAAAGCGUGGGGAGCGAACAGG